CUGGCAUUGAAGCGAAGCUUUUCUUGCCAACACACUCAAGCCUGCUUCCCAAAGAAUAAACACCCCUUUUCUUCCAGCUGUUAAAUGAAUCAAGGCCCUGUGACAUGACAGAUGGACCCUCCUCCGCUGUGGUCGACCAGGGACAGCCUUGCGGCAGCGCAGGCCUAGAGGAGACGAGGAACAGCCACCUGGGAGGAAGAGAGAGAGGGAAGACCAACGGGGUUUGCAACAAGGCUGCGGGGAAAGGUCCUGGUGGUGCAUUAGCUGAAAUCCCUCGGAAGAAGAUGUCAUGAGCCUUUCCAAGCAUGUUUCUCUGCUACCUGCACAUUGGCUCUCUGGCUUUUCGGUGGUUACCCAGGAAGAGAAGACAGAUGAGCACUCGCCCAUUUGUUUCCAGAAAGAUCUGACCAAAUCCAUCAUCACCAGCACCACAAUUUCCUCCUGACUCCCCGAGGCAAAGGAUAUGAAGCUCUGGGCCCUCCCAUUAGACUUUCAGAGACUGGCAUCAAUGCUAAACACUCAACCACAGUAUAUCGAUCAUAUUCUGUAUUUCUUCUCUCCAGCAAACAAGAGCAUUUUAAAUACA